rnacentral:lncRNA from 1 species
UUCUUGACUGGAACAGGAGGAGGAAGAGGUUUAUGAUAUACAGGCGUAGGUGGAGGGAGAGGUUUAUGAUAAACAGGCACAGGUGGAGGAAGAGGUUUCUCAUACACAGGUGUAGGUGGAGGGAGAGGUUUAUGGUAAACAGGCACAGGCGGAGGAAGAGGUUUCUCGUAGACAGGUGUAGGUGGAGGAAGAGGUUUCUCAUAAACAGGUGUAGGAGGAGGGAUAGGUUUUUCAUAGAUAGGCACAGGUGGAGGACAAGGUUUCUUGUAGAUAGGAAUAUGAGGAAAGGGAGGUUUGUAAAUAGGAAUAUGAGAAAAUGGAGGUUUCUUGUAGAUAGGAACAGGAGGAAAAAGAGGGUGUUUAUGGAAAAUCUUUGGUGGAAAUGUUGGAAAAACUUUAGGGGGAAAUUGAGGUAAAUCAGGAUGAGGAAGCUUAGGAAAAAGAGGAUGUUUGAAGAGAGGCCAAAAGAAUUUGGAG